UAGGAUUAGAUACCCUACUAUGCUAAGCCAUAAACAUUGACAGUUAUAAAUACAAUACUUUCCGCCAGAGAACUACAAGUGAAAAACUUAAAACUCAAAGGACUUGGCGGUGUCCCAUAUUCGACCUAGAGGAGCCUGUCCUAUAAUCGAUACUCCCCGCUCUACCUUACCAGCACUAGCAGACUCAGCCUAUAUACCGCCGUCGACAGCUUACCCCCUGAGGGUCAAACAGUAAGCAUAAUAGUCCUAUCACUAAUACGUCAGGUCAAGGUGUAGCUAAUGUGCUGGCAGAGAUUGGCUACAUUUUUUAUCUUAAAAAACACGAAAUGCUACAUGAAAAACAGCAUGAAGGCGAAUUUAGUAGUAAAACAAACAAGAGAGUCUGUUUUAACAACGCUCUGGGACGCGUACACACCGCCCGUCACCCUCCUCAACAACAAUAAAAAAAUCCAUAAACAACCACACCAUUAAAACAGAUGAGGUAAGU
rnacentral:rRNA from 1 species